CCUGACGCAGCGACGCCGCGUGCGGGAUGAAGGCCUUCGGGUCGUAAACCGCUGUCGGGAGGGACGAAAUCAAUGACGGUACCUCCAAAGGAAGCACCGGCUAACUCUGUGCCAGCAGCCGCGGUAAUACAGAGGGUGCGAGCGUUGUCCGGAAUCACUGGGCGUAAAGGGCGCGUAGGCGGCCUGAGUAAGUAGGGGGUGAAAUCCUGCGGCUCAACCGCAGGGCUGCCUUCUAGACUGUCAGGCUUGAGCACAGUAGAGGCAGGUGGAAUUCCCGGUGUAGCGGUGGAAUGCGUAGAGAUCGGGAAGAACAUCGGUGGCGAAGGCGGCCUGCUGGGCUGUUGCUGACGCUGAGGCGCGACAGCGUGGGGAGCAAACAGGAUUAGAUACCCUGGUAGUCCACGCCGUAAACGAUGGGUACUAGGCGUCGGGGGGAGCGACCCCCUCGGUGCCGUCGUUAACACAGUAAGUACCCCGCCUGGGGAGUACGGCCGCAAGGCUG
rnacentral:rRNA from 1 species